GAGUGAAGAGAGACCCAUAAGAGACACAUAUGAUAAAGUCACUCUGACAGUAUCUAAAGGUAAGAAUGACAGUUUUUCUAGUUGUAGAUGUAGUUCUCUUUUUUUUUUCCUUGAUGGUAUUUUCUUUUCUCACACAUACAGUAGAUCCAAAUGAAAGCAUCACCACAUCCACACAACCAUACAAAGAAACACAAACAUGCCUGGAUUUGCACACCACUACACCAGUAGCACAUUCAGAAUCUCUGUCUACCACACCAAGCCUAACCUCCAGAGAGUCAAGUCCUGGUGUCCUCAAAUUCAGUAACAGUGUCUGCACACACAAUAUGCUGUGGGUGGUCUGGUCAUAGCAGCGAUAUUAUUUUUAGUUGGAUUGGACACUGUUCAUCAGAGCAGAAACAGAGUCAAGACAUCAGAAAUUUUCUUAUGUUGUGCAACAGCAACACCUGACAAAGUUGAAGAGAACAGCACAGAGAUGAAAUCUACAGAUGAGACUGAAGUCAAGAAAAGCCAGUCAGAUUCAGUCUAUCAGAAUCUAAACCUCAGCACGGUCCAAUCAAAUGAAGUAUAUGGAAAUCUCGGAUUGCUGAAUCAUUUAGUAAUAUUCAGAGUACCAGUCUCUAGACUAACAAUCCCAGAUCUCAAGUACAUUUAAUUCAACAAGCCUGUAAAAUACAAGUUUAUUAUGUACAGAGAAUAAGUAUUAAGAUAAGUUAAAAAAAAAAAAAAAGAAUCAAGUAUUAAGAUUAAAAUACCAAAUGUGGUGUUAUAUUUUACAUAUUACAAUAUAGUCAUAUUAAGGCACUAUUUUUUAAUUGUUGCUCUGUGUAUGCAUUACGUGUGUUAUGCCACUUGCUUAUU